UAUACUUUCACUGCUGCAGCAGAGAAAUGCAUCUUCAGCAGCCGGAGGGAACCUCAGCAAGGGUCGCAGUUAUUUAUACUUUAUGUUUUUUAUUUCUUCCAUCAUACAUAAAUGCACCUUCCUUCUGCUUUCUUCCACAGCAAAGCCCCACACAUGAAGCAAAGUUUGCAUCCCAGGGCUGCUAUACAAAGGCACACCUGUACCCGGGCUAGACAGAGAAUAUUACUUCCAGCGGCGAUAAUGCAAAGCCAUCUUUGUUAUUUGGAAGUGGCUUUAAUAAGGAAUGCCAUUGGUCAUCGCUUAAUGGCGGGAACAGAAGGAUUUGUGUAAAAAGACCAACCCCAAAACAGGCUGAACCUGCAAUACACAGAUUAACGUCUUGUCUACUAUCCUGUUGUCUGUAGGAUAUAGGAAGGAUGGGGUUAGGUGCUGAAGACCUAUUCAAUGAGGUUUGUACAGGGCAAGCUCCCAGCAGCACAAAGCUGUGGCACAGGUGCUAUUCAGGUAAGCACUAUACUGUGCUACACACAGGUAAUCACACACGGAUCCAUCAGUGAUACCAUGUGCCACAACUAGCAUAUCAUCCACAGGUAUAAAGACAAUCCCAAGUCUUCAGUAAAAAAAAUCACAACUCUAUUCCUCUUUAAUAGUCUUUUUUUAAUUUGCUCAUUUGAAUACAAAAGCAUACAUGGACAAAGAAAACAAAUGAGAUCCAGCUAGCCGCAGAGAAGAGGGACACGGUGACCCCUUGGCCCGAGAAGUCAAAGCACGUGCACCAGGGUACUUGCUCCCUGGCAUCCUGCCGUCAGGGGCAUCAGUGCGUGUCCGGCCGCAGCAGACGGCAGGCAGUUUUACCAGGCCACGGCUUCCCCAGGUCACUCUAUUUCAACUCCAGUACACAGGCCAUAGCAGGGACCACACCGGACCGAGUUCCGGUUCAUGAGAAGGGGGGAGAGCAAGAUCACACUUUCUCAUGAUAAGGACUGUUCCAUUUCAAGACACGCCUUCCAUUUCAAUGCACAGUGUAGGCCAAAAUAAAAAGAAAUGAGCCUUUCUGGGUA